AUUUCCCGCAAAUGUAAGAAAACACAAUUUUAAAGUGAGCAUGUCCCAUUCCAUCUAGUUAGGUUACCAAAAUUUAAACUGUCUCAUAGACUGGGUGCCCAUGUCCCGUCAAGUUAACACAUAAAACCAGCCAAUGUAAGGCUGGGCUUCGUGGUGCUUGCCUGUAGUCUGGUGGUGGUUAGGAGAACCAGGAGUCCAAGCUUUCAUACAGAUCUGGCUACAUACAGAUCUGAGGCCAAUCUGGGAUAUAUGAGACUUGUCUCAAAAAAAAAAAAACCAAUUCAACAUAUUGUAACCAGGGUCCUAUAAGACCAGACAGGAUCUAGCAAGGAAAUGCUUUCCCAGCUCCAUUUGAAUUCUCUUGGACUGGAAUAUGUCAUUUCUUUACUAUUAAAAAUGUGUCUGAAAUCAUGGGGAUGUUAGUCUGGCUACUGGAGCACUAGCACCUUCUCAGUAGACGGGGAGCAUCAGGCAGGUAGAGAAUGGACGGGAUGUUGUGGGUGGCCAGCCUGUGAGGCUCCUUAGAUGCUUUCAGACUGUGCGUGUGAUGUGGCUGCCGGGGAAGGGGUACAUCACUCUUCCUCUGCUAGGACACUCGGCAGAGUGCACUGAAAGUGCUGAGUUCGUUAUUUCCAUGAAGAGUCUCGCACUAGGUUGUGGAUGGUGGUUAAAGUUCUACAUGGGCUCUAGGGUUGUGUUGCGUGGGUUUCAAUGCACUGUUAGGUUGUUGACUAUAGCUUGUCACUUAGCCUCUCUGUGCCUCACUUUCUCAACUGCCAACGGAACAACGCGCAAAUUGCUCUUGUUUUCAUACUUGCUUCGUGCCCCCAGAGAAGUCCUAAAACCUAGAAAAGUACAGGUUGCUGUUACCGGAGAGACAACCAGUGAUCCCCAGGAAGGCAGAUUUCCAGAGCUUACGUGCUUGGCUGCCUGCAUCCUGGUGAGUUUUCAGACCGUAUUUUGUGGCUGGUAAGGUGGUGUAACCUUCUUUCUCUUCCCCAGAAACCACUUUCACACACACUCUCUCUACCCCCCUACACAUCUUUUUGAAGUCUACCUUGACAUAUAAGGAGGUUAAUAUUAACAAUGUACCAAGUGGCCCCCGCCUCCGCCAGGCUUCUGAAGUGCUGAUAAAAGCAACUUAUGAUGGGAUCACGGUGGCUUUAAAUUAGCAGAGACUAGCUGUGUGUCGCCACCUCAAUCUGGUCCAGGGAGACUUUUCUGUGGUUUAACCAGCUUUCUAAAACAGAGUAUGCCCCAGGGACCAGGGAAAAUUACUUUAAUGACUAGUUACAUUUUGAAGAUGGAGCAGGGUGCCAUUUAGACAAAACAGAAUUCCCUUGUUAAUCUGUGGCCAAAUGCUUGUAAGACAUUAAAGGGAUGUGGGAAAGCCCAUAAAAGCAAAGAACCAAAACGAGAGAGUCUCUCAUCCUAGGUCUGACUUGCAAAUAUCACUAUGAACUCAUGGUAGGUGUCCUUUAAAAC
rnacentral:lncRNA from 1 species